rnacentral:lncRNA from 1 species
UAUAAACAAAAACAACCAAAUUUUUUUUAUUUCUUUUUAAUUAAACCAUAACAAACGAAUUUACUCGUAGAAUUGUGAAACUAAUUAAGACAAACUUUACAUCCAUUAAUGUACUAAAAAUACGUCUUUUAUAAGAAUCGAAGUCCAAAGCCGAAAAUAAAAUCCUUGAUCAUUGAACCAUAUGAGUUUCCAGCAGUAAUUUUAGAUAACAAAAAAAAAUUGUCAAAAUCAAAAUCAGGUUGAAAUUAUUAUGAAAAAAAUAAUGUUACGCACAGUUCAAAAGAUGAGGAUUGAAUAUAAUGAU